rnacentral:misc_RNA from 1 species
AAGUCAUAAUAAGGUCUCCAUUGAUGAACCAGCAGAGGGAUCAUUACUGAGUCAUAUGCUUAAACAAUCCUUCUGUGGACCUGAAUUAAACCAUUGCCUUAGUAGGUGAUCCCCUGCCAAAACCCACAUGGUUGUGGACAGAGGACCAGAUAGUCCAGCACACUUAAGGCAUCUGGUAUCAGCCAUUGGCCCUAACCAAUUAAACUCUAGUAACCUUACCUUCUGAGUUUUAAUACAAAAAAAAAUAAGUCAAAACUUUCAAUAAUGGAUCUCUUGGCUUUG